AGAGUUCAAUCCUGGCCCAGGAUGAACGUUGGCGGCAUGCUUAACACAUGCAAGUUGGACGGGAAUUGGUGUUUUUAGUGGCAGACGGGUGAGUAAAGCAUAAGAACCUGCCCUUGGGAGGGGAACAAAAGCUGGAAACGACUAUUAAUACCACGUAGGCUGAGGAGUAAAAGGAGGAAUCUACCUAAGGGCGGGCUUGUGUCUAAUUAGCUAGUUGGUGAGGCAAUAGCUUACCAAGGUGAUGAUCAGUAUCUGGUUCGAGAGGAUGAUCAACCACACUGGGACUGAGACACGACCCAGACUCCUAUGGGAGGCAGCAGUGGGGAAUUUUCCGCAAUGGAAAAAAGCCUGACAGAGCAAUGCCGCGUGGACGUAGAAGGCUCAUAGGUCGUGAACUUCUUUUCCUGGAGAAGAAGCAAUGACAGUAUCUGGGAAUAAGUAUCAACUAACUCUGUGCCAGCAGCCGUGGUAAGAUAGAGGAUGCAAGCGUUAUCGGAAUGAUUGAGCGUAAAGCUUCUGUGGGUGGCUUUUUAAGUCUGCUGUCGAAUCUCAGGGCUCAACCCUGGACAAUCGGUGGAAACUACCAAUCUGGAGUACGGUAGGGGUAAAGGGAAUUUCUGAUGGAGUGGUGAAAUGCGUAGAGAUCGAAAAGAACACCAACGGCAAAAGCACUCUGUUGGGCCGAGAGUAACAUUGAGAGACGAAAGCUGGGGGAGCGAAUGGGAUUAGAUACCCCAGUAGUCCUAGCCAUAAAUGAUGGAUACCAGGUGUUGUGCGUAUCGACCCAUGCAGUGUUUUAGCUAACGCGUUAAGUAUCACACCAGGGAAGUACAUUCGCAAGAAUGAAACUCGAGGGAAUUGACGGGAGCUUACACAAGUGGUGGAGCAUGUGGUUUAAUUCGAUGCAAAGUGAAGAACCCUACCAGGGCUUGACAUGCUGUGAAUCAUCUUGAAAGAGAGGGGUGCCUUUGUGAACACGAACACAAGUGGUGCAUGGUUACCAUAAGCUAGUGCUGUAAGGUAUUGGUAUUGGGUUAAGUCCCAUGAGGAGCACAUCCUUCAUAUUUAGUUGCUAUCAUUGAAUUUAGAACCCUGAAAAGACUGUCGGUGAUGAGUCGGAG
rnacentral:rRNA from 1 species